rnacentral:tRNA from 1 species
GUUAUAUAUUCUAAGAAGGAUAUUAAAUUGCAAAUUUAAAGGUAAAUUAUAAAUUUUAUAACUUU